AACCUACGGGGGGCAGCAGUGAGGAAUAUUGGUCAAUGGCCGAGAGGCUGAACCAGCCAAGUCGCGUGAGGGAAGACGGCCCUACGGGUUGUAAACCUCUUUUGUCGGGGAGCAAAGCGAGUCACGUGUGACUCAUUGAGAGUACCCGAAGAAAAAGCAUCGGCUAACUCCGUGCCAGCAGCCGCGGUAAUACGGAGGAUGCGAGCGUUAUCCGGAUUUAUUGGGUUUAAAGGGUGCGCAGGCGGAGGUGCAAGUCAGCGGUCACAUUGCGGUGCUCAACCCCGUACUGCCUCUGAAACUGCAUC
rnacentral:rRNA from 1 species